AAUAUUUUCAAGGGAUGGGACCCGAGACUCGAACCCGGGUCCUCCAGAGUGGAAAGGCGAAGCGUUUCCACGCUGCCAAUCCGGCCGACAUCUGGGACGUUUUAUCAACCGUCUAGUUGGUCGGCCGGAUGACCGCCAGUCCGGAUGAUCCGCAUCGAAUGGCCACCCUAUAGAAACCCGAUUCGAUUCUCUGGUGCCACACCUCCAGAUUUUCCCCGAGGGGUAGGAGUCCGGCCCCUCGAACCCGGUUCUACAUCCGACGGCCGACCCCACCACAAGUGUGGCCGGACGGUAGCGGUAACCGGAAUACCCACCAGCCUAGUACGCCCGGUAGAAAACCAGACAAAAAUUGAGCUAAAAAAGGAAGUAGAUCGGCACAGCCGCGGCCGGUCUCCUAUAACGGACGGCUGUGGGCUGGAUUUAUCCAGCGCUCUUUUUUAUGGCGGCUUUCAGUGGCCAAGAACGGGGUGUCCGCACCACCGUCCCGGAGAAUAUAGAAACCGUAGAGUAACAGCCGGAGGAAAGUUCGGAUGGGGUAAAAGUGGUUAGGGAAUUAAUUUCGUAGGCGAAAUCUAGGGCCGAAAGCGAGGCCAUAGAUUUGGGACCGCGGAACGGAGAACGGGACAGGCCGGAGCCGUUCCGUUACCGGGGGAAAACGAAAGGCGGUACAGAUCCGGGAUUUACCGACGGAAUAUAGUAAUGGCUUUUCGCGCGUGAGAAAACGUUUUGUCGACUCCGACAGAAUUGGUUUUAAGGCUGGAAUUCGGAAGCCGGAAGAAGUUUUCCCGCAGGCUAUCGAAAGAAAAAUCGAAGAGAAAACGACGGUGAGGUGCCCUCGAAUAACGCGCGAAAAAGAGUAUUAUCCGACCACCACCAUCCAUGGAUUUGUCCCGGUAAAAGUAGCCAGGGCCCAAAACUACCGGUACCGGUUGGGUUAAGUAAAGAAAAUAUAGUUUAGCCUCGGACUUUUGGCAGGAAUAAUUCCGAGACUCCACGUAUAUUUGUUAUUCGCCUACUUCUUGUGGUCGGCCUUUUCCAAUCGACCAUCCAUCAGUUGUAGCGGUCGGCAAAGAAAAAUCUUCCGUCGAUGGAGAAAGUAGAGCACACUCUAAACGAUGGGGAUGCACCGGCCCUAACCGGCAGUGGUAACAUUUAUUAUACAGUUUAAUCCGAGACAUCGGACCAAGUAGCUACUUACGAAAAAAGCCAGAGUACCGAUAAGGAAUUUCCGGCCUAACCAGGACUAGCUGGUAAAACAUACGUGGUUAUUACAAAAUUUGUAGCCGGUGGUAUCGCUUACAACCAUUUUGGUUGGUGCUUCCACUCGGAAACGGUUACGGAAUAACUGUUAGAUUGUGGCUGUGCCCAUAAAAUAUAUUUCUUAAGACCUGUUCUUUCGGAAAUUUUAGAAAAGAAGCCGAGACCUAGAUGGUUCCAUUCGGACACCGAUUAUCCCGCUCCGAAUUCAUCCGCUUUCUCUCACCGCCAGUGUAGGACCGGAAUGUUAACCGUCGGAAUCCGGUACUCCCUCUAACGGCCGACCGCGGGAAAAUUCUAAAUCCCGGACCAGCGCCUAGGGGUUACCCUGUUCCGGGACGGCUAGCCGAAAGUCCGGCAUCCGUCUCUUUCCCGCUGGCUGAUGGGGCCGGACCGAUGCUGGCCGCUCUACUCCCGGCCUAAGUUAGGCUACUGGGGUGGAGAAAAAAUGCCGGAAGGGUUCCGGUAGCCAGUAACAGGAGGCGCGGCCGAAACGGAGCGGGUCCGGAAGAAUCUACUAGUCAAUGUUUGUGUCCGAUAGACACCGGGCUUCCAUCGGAAAGUGAAGAGUAGGGAAGGGCCGGUCCCACCCGCUUCCUUUUUUUACUUCCAGCCCGCAACUACCGUUUAAAUAAGACCGGCCUCAUCGGAAACAGGAAAAUUCGUCGGACGGACGGAGGAAAGAAGAGGCCGAUUCCGCCCGCUAGGUCGAUAAGGGAGGGAACGGUCGGCCGCCACCCCCCACCAAACUCGGCCAUUGCCGCUACCAAAAUAUGUGGGUGGUAGUCACCGCCCAGCUAGUCGGUAAUAAUCCGGAAGGCCGGGGCUGACUGAAAAGGACGGCCCCGGCCGCCUGCCCUUCCGAGGGCGGCCGGUGAACCACCCACCGCGGAGCCUGGGCUACCUUCUCUCGGCCCACCAACGGGGGCUUAUUGCUGGAAAGAAAGAAUAGAAGCGGAUGGACCGGGAAGGGACACCCCCAGCCGAGUGCCCGGCUGGUUAAUCCGAAGAAAGCGCCCGUUCCUUCGGCCUCCGCCGGUACCUCCAGAUAUGGUUGGGUGGACCACCACCCUUACCACUGCCUAUGUUAACCGAAGUCGGAUGAAAGGGAACUUUCUCGGACCUAGAAACAAUAAAUGGUUAAAGUAGAAGCGACGGGUUUCGACGCCUUCCUCCGGGCUGCCGGUGUGGGUUCGACUUCCGUCGACGGUGACAGCCGGAAACUGGUACGGGCCGAAUGGCGGGAAUAGUGUCGGCGUAGUUUACUUUACUCCAAGCAAAUUAGGCUCGGACGUCCGGUGACCGGGUAAAAUGGCGGUAGAGCCGGAGGGUGGCCGAUGGUCGAAGGCCGUUUCAUCGCGGCCGGGCUACCGGAUCUGUAUUCGAGCGAUUUACUUUAGAGAAAGAGAUACGGAGCGAGGGAGAUGUCGAUAUUCCGGAAGGGUGGCUUUCGACGUCUGGCAUUUGGCUUCGACUUUCGACUGGUUGGGGCCGCGCGUCGGUCGGAAGAAGUGGAAAGGUCAGCGGGCCUAAUUUAUCGGAUAAAGAGGAGAAAAGCCAAAGAAGGCAACCUGAAGAAGAAAAAUGAAAUUAUUUUUAAACAUCUAGUUAUCCUUCUAAUACUUUUCGACCGAUUGUUACUAUGGCUGUAUUACGCGCCUAAGUAGUAAUCGGUGUCGUUAUUUAUUUUAAAACUUUUUACUGGUAAUAAAUUUGUCUAUUUUGAUUAGACGUAAGUUUUCUCUAUAGUGUGAAUUGGAAAGAACUUUUAUAAAAACUGUAAUUUUACUUUUUUUAGGACAGCGUUGUCGGAAUCGAUAAACUAACUUCUGGUUUAUCAUUAAAGACACGUUUAUUUCUACCUUUCCCCACCGAUUAACAAAAUACACUUAUUCAUAUUUUUAUGGUCGAACCAUCGUACCGCGCCACAUUUGCACCAGCGUCUUUUUCUAGCGCAACGGCUUUCAUUUCUCGGGUUUUUCCCAAAACCCGAGCUAUCAUUUCUAGAUGGACAGCUUUCCUGUCUGGGACAUCCUGGGGUUCUUUCAUCCCGGGGCUACCGACAGCGACGCUCUUCUUUAUUUCACCUGGAAAAUAUCUGGCAUUAAUUGAACUUAGAAGUAAUAGUAAUAUUUCCAAAUUAAAUACGGUAUAUUACUUUUAGGACGGGUAUUUCAGCCGAGUAAGGUCGCUCUGGUUUAUAUUUAUUACAGCGGUUCGGUUUAAAAGAAAUGAAAAUAUUCUCGGAAAAAUAAUAAUAAUAAUAAUAAUAUGGGUAAAGCCGAUA
rnacentral:lncRNA from 1 species